UCACAACUUAAAAGUGAAUUUUUAGUAGUUAAAUAAUUCGUGGAUCACCAAAAGAGAAGACAAGUACCCGCCUAAAACAAUUGCACUUGAAAUAUGUAUGGCACCUACCAAGUGAAUUGUCUCUUACCUAUACGCAUGUCUUCUUCAGGAUACGUAAGUCUGUUACAUUGUUGAAACAUAUCUACUACAACGGCAAUGCGGCUAGAACAUAUCCGAGGACGUAAAAAUUCUACAACCACACAUUCACACAAAUACUAUUACGCUCACUCACCCUUAUGAAUGUGUGUGUAAAAGUGUUCGUGUGAAAUGUGUGUGGUUGUAGAAGAAUUAAUCUAAGGACACAGGGGGUUGUUAGUAUAAAUUUAGAAGUUUUAUUCUGUGGUGAAUCUAUAAUAUUUAUAAACUGUAGGGUAAGAUCUGCGGAAAUGAAAACAUAUACUGUCAGGCUCCUGUGUUACUUACUAAUCGAUCGGAGUCAAGAACCAGCCCAAAAUCUUGAUCGUAAAUCGAACAGAGGUCAGCAGGUCCGGCAAAGAUCGGCGGCUCCGGCGAGGAUAAGACCAGUUUUAUUGCAGUGUCGCUAGGUAGAAAAUGAAGAAAGGAGUGCAUCCUCAGUUGCAAUGGAUAUCCUAUGUUACCCAGAGUGGCCGUUUGAUGAAUGUCAUGAUGACCAAAAUACACAACGUCAGUAAAGUUUAUCACAUUAGAGCAAGGCGGCAGAUGGCUCAAAGCGUUGGCCAGAUUGCCAAAUAUAAGCGGCGUUAUCAACAGAAGGAGGAAGAGGAAAAUGAACAGAAAUGACUUCUGUAAAAUGCAAGUAGAAUGGUUGGGUGCUGCACUCUUAUGUUGCCUAUUUCUGUAUUUUGGAUUAGCCAUGAACUCCCCAUAUGUCAUUUUUCUGUAUUUUCUCGUUCUGGUAACCUGCUGGCUUCUUCCAAACACAUCCAUUUCGCUGUUUCGUGAUUGUUGACUAUAUUCUCAGAUGUGCUUUCGUUUCGAUGAAGUACCUAUGUUCUUACUUGAGUUGACUUUA